AUUGAACGCUGGCGGCAUGCCUCACACAUGCAAGUCGAACGGCAGCACGGGAGCAAUCCUGGUGGCGAGUGGCGAACGGGUGAGUAAUACAUCGGAACGUGCCCAAUCGUGGGGGAUAACGUAGCGAAAGCUACGCUAAUACCGCAUACGAUCUAAGGAUGAAAGCGGGGGAUCGCAAGACCUCGCGCGAAUGGAGCGGCCGAUGGCAGAUUAGGUAGUUGGUGAGGUAAAGGCUCACCAAGCCUGCGAUCUGUAGCUGGUCUGAGAGGACGACCAGCCACACUGGGACGUAGACACGUCCCAGACUCCUACGGGAGGCAGAAGUGGGGAAUUUUUGACAAUGGUCGCGAGCCUGAUCCAGCAAUGCCGCGUGCAGGAUGAAGUCCUUCAGGUUGUAAACUGCUUUUGUACGGAACGAAACGGUCCUUUCUAAUACAAGGGGCUAAUGACGGUACCGUAAGAAUAAGCACCGGCUAACUACGUGCCAGCCGCCGCUGUAA
rnacentral:rRNA from 1 species